rnacentral:rRNA from 1 species
GAUGAACGCUGGCGGCGUGCCUAAUACAUGCAAGUCGAGCGAACAGACGAGGAGCUUGCUCCUCUGACGUUAGCGGCGGACGGGUGAGUAACACGUGGAUAACCUACCUAUAAGACUGGGAUAACUUCGGGAAACCGGAGCUAAUACCGGAUAAUAUAUUGAACCGCAUGGUUCAAUAGUGAAAGACGGUUUUGCUGUCACUUAUAGAUGGAUCCGCGCCGCAUUAGCUAGUUGGUAAGGUAACGGCUUACCAAGGCAACGAUGCGUAGCCGACCUGAGAGGGUGAUCGGCCACACUGGAACUGAGACACGGUCCAGACUCCUACGGGAGGCAGCAGUAGGGAAUCUUCCGCAAUGGGCGAAAACCUGACGGAGCAACGCCGCGUGAGUGAUGAAGGUCUUCGGAUCGUAAAACUCUGUUAUUAGGGAAGAACAAAUGUGUAAGUAACUAUGCACGUCUUGACGGUACCUAAUCAGAAAGCCACGGCUAACUACGUG